GACGAACGCUGGCGGCGUGCUUAACACAUGCAAGUCGAACGGAAAGGCCCUGCUUUUGUGGGGUGCUCGAGUGGCGAACGGGUGAGUAACACGUGAGUAACCUGCCCUUGACUUUGGGAUAACUUCAGGAAACUGGGGCUAAUACCGGAUAGGAGCUCCUGCUGCAUGGUGGGGGUUGGAAAGUUUCGGCGGUUGGGUAUGGACUCGCGGCUUAUCAGCUUGUUGGUGGGGUAGUGGCUUACCAAGGCUUUGACGGGUAGCCUGCCUGAGAGGGUGACCGGCCACAUUGGGACUGAGAGACGGAGCAGACUCCUACGGGAGGCAGCAGUGGGGAAUAUUGCACAAUGUGCGGAAGCCUGAUGCAGCAACGCCGCGUGCGGGAUGACGGCCUUCGGGUUGUAAACCGCUUUCGCCUGUGACGAAGCGUGAGUGACGGUAAUGGGUAAAGAAGCACCGGCUAACUACGUG
rnacentral:rRNA from 1 species